rnacentral:rRNA from 1 species
GACGGAGGGGGCUAGCGUUGUUCGGAAUUACUGGGCGUAAAGAGUGCGUAGGCGGUUUAGUAAGUUGGAAGUGAAAGCCCGAGGCUUAACCUCGGAACUGCUUUCAAAACUACUAAUCUAGAGUGUAGUAGGGGAUGAUGGAAUUCCUAGUGUAGAGGUGAAAUUCUUAGAUAUUAGGAGGAACACCGGUGGCGAAAGCGGUCAUCUGGGCUACAACUGACGCUAAUGCACGAAAGCGUGGGGAGCGAACCGG